UGAAUCCGAAUUGGAAAAUCAAGCCAGCAAAUCAGGAUAAACCUGAAACUGCACCGGGAAACACACGAGACAUUUGUCUGCACCGUGGAAAGAACGCUGUUUGACUCUCUUUGUGUGUACAGCACAGUCCUGUGACAGAAAACUCCAGUUCUCCCAAGAAACAAGCACGGUGAACUUGUGUUUUUCCAAGCUGACUUUAUGUUUGAACUCGGCAGCCCAGUUCUAGGGAAAAUCAGAACCGCGGUGGGCAGUGCCCAGCUUCUCAUGGCGCAGAAAUUCUACCAGUUCAGAGAACUGUGUGAAGAGAACCUGAAUCCCAAUGCUCACCCGAGACCCACUUCCCAGGAUUUGGCGGGGUUUUGGGACAUGCUGCAGUUGUCCAUAGAAA
rnacentral:lncRNA from 1 species